rnacentral:rRNA from 1 species
CCUACGGGAGGCAGCAGUGAGGAAUAUUGGUCAAUGGGCGAGAGCCUGAACCAGCCAAGUCGCGUGAGGGAGUACUGCCCUAUGGGUUGUAAACCUCUUUUGUCGGGGAGCAAAAUCCGGCCGUGUCCGGCUGUGAGAGUACCCUCAGAAAAAGCAUCGGCUAACUCCGUUCCAGCAGCCGCGGUAAUACGGAGGAUGCGAGCGUUAUCCGGAUUUAUUGGGUUUAAAGGGUGCGCAGGCGGAUUUUUAAGUCAGCGGUAAAAGCGUGGGGCUCAACCCCAGCCAGCCGUUGAAACUGGGGGGCUAGAGUGUGCGAGAGGUAGGCGGAAUGCGGGGUGUAGCGGUGAAAUGCAUAGAU